rnacentral:rRNA from 1 species
UUUUCCUUGCCUUGAAAGUUACCUCCGAGGAUUAACCAUUCCAACCCAGGGAGGGUAUCGGAGCGGCGUACGGCUCAGUAGGACAAGGAAAUCUAGCCACCAAGGGGGAUAACCGCGGUAAGCUGUGGCUAAUACAAGGUGGGUGAGUCCUUGGCCUAUCAGCUAGUCGGUACGGUAAAGGCGUACCGAC